GAACCAGUACCGUGAGGGAAAGGUGAAAAGCACCCCGACGAGGGGAGUGAAACAGUUUCUGAAACCGGACGCCUACAAGCAGUCGGAGCCGCCUUGCGCGGUGACGGCGUACCUUUUGUAUAAUGGGUCAGCGACUUACAUUCAGUGGCGAGCUUAACCGUAUAGGGCAGGCGUAGCGAAAGCGAGUCCGAACAGGGCGUCCAGUCGCUGGGUGUAGACCCGAAACCAGGUGAUCUAUCCAUGGCCAGGAUGAAGGUG
rnacentral:rRNA from 1 species